rnacentral:rRNA from 1 species
ACUAAGCGUACACGGUGGAUGCCCUGGCAGUCAGAGGCGAUGAAGGACGUGCUAAUCUGCGAUAAGCGUCGGUAAGGUGAUAUGAACCGUUAUAACCGGCGAUUUCCGAAUGGGGAAACCCAGUGUGAUUCGUCACACUAUCAUUAACUGAAUCCAUAGGUUAAUGAGGCGAACCGGGGGAACUGAAACAUCUAAGUACCCCGAGGAAAAGAAAUCAACCGAGAUUCCCCCAGUAGCGGCGAGCGAACGGGGAGCAGCCCAGAGCCUGAAUCAGUGUGUGUGUUAGUGGAAGCGUCUGGAAAGGCGCGCGAUACAGGGUGACAGCCCCGUACACAAAAAUGCACAUGCUGUGAGCUCGAUGAGUAGGGCGGGACACGUGGUAUCCUGUCUGAAUAUGGGGGGACCAUCCUCCAAGGCUAAAUACUCCUGACUGACCGAUAGUGAACCAGUACCGUGAGGGAAAGGCGAAAAGAACCCCGGCGAGGGGAGUGAAAAAGAACCUGAAACCGUGUACGUACAAGCAGUGGGAGCACGCUUAGGCGUGUGACUGCGUACCUUUUGUAUAAUGGGUCAGCGACUUAUAUUCUGUAGCAAGGUUAACCGAAUAGGGGAGCCGAAGGGAAACCGAGUCUUAACUGGGCGUUAAGUUGCAGGGUAUAGACCCGAAACCCGGUGAUCUAGCCAUGGGCAGGUUGAAGGUUGGGUAACACUAACUGGAGGACCGAACCGACUAAUGUUGAAAAAUUAGCGGAUGACUUGUGGCUGGGGGUGAAAGGCCAAUCAAACCGGGAGAUAGCUGGUUCUCCCCGAAAGCUAUUUAGGUAGCGCCUCGUGAAUUCAUCUCCGGGGGUAGAGCACUGUUUCGGCAAGGGGGUCAUCCCGACUUACCAACCCGAUGCAAACUGCGAAUACCGGAGAAUGUUAUCACGGGAGACACACGGCGGGUGCUAACGUCCGUCGUGAAGAGGGAAACAACCCAGACCGCCAGCUAAGGUCCCAAAGUCAUGGUUAAGUGGGAAACGAUGUGGGAAGGCCCAGACAGCCAGGAUGUUGGCUUAGAAGCAGCCAUCAUUUAAAGAAAGCGUAAUAGCUCACUGGUCGAGUCGGCCUGCGCGGAAGAUGUAACGGGGCUAAACCAUGCACCGAAGCUGCGGCAGCGACGCUUAUGCGUUGUUGGGUAGGGGAGCGUUCUGUAAGCCUGCGAAGGUGUGCUGUGAGGCAUGCUGGAGGUAUCAGAAGUGCGAAUGCUGACAUAAGUAACGAUAAAGCGGGUGAAAAGCCCGCUCGCCGGAAGACCAAGGGUUCCUGUCCAACGUUAAUCGGGGCAGGGUGAGUCGACCCCUAAGGCGAGGCCGAAAGGCGUAGUCGAUGGGAAACAGGUUAAUAUUCCUGUACUUGGUGUUACUGCGAAGGGGGGACGGAGAAGGCUAUGUUGGCCGGGCGACGGUUGUCCCGGUUUAAGCGUGUAGGCUGGUUUUCCAGGCAAAUCCGGAAAAUCAAGGCUGAGGCGUGAUGACGAGGCACUACGGUGCUGAAGCAACAAAUGCCCUGCUUCCAGGAAAAGCCUCUAAGCAUCAGGUAACAUCAAAUCGUACCCCAAACCGACACAGGUGGUCAGGUAGAGAAUACCAAGGCGCUUGAGAGAACUCGGGUGAAGGAACUAGGCAAAAUGGUGCCGUAACUUCGGGAGAAGGCACGCUGAUAUGUAGGUGAAGUCCCUCGCGGAUGGAGCUGAAAUCAGUCGAAGAUACCAGCUGGCUGCAACUGUUUAUUAAAAACACAGCACUGUGCAAACACGAAAGUGGACGUAUACGGUGUGACGCCUGCCCGGUGCCGGAAGGUUAAUUGAUGGGGUUAGCGCAAGCGAAGCUCUUGAUCGAAGCCCCGGUAAACGGCGGCCGUAACUAUAACGGUCCUAAGGUAGCGAAAUUCCUUGUCGGGUAAGUUCCGACCUGCACGAAUGGCGUAAUGAUGGCCAGGCUGUCUCCACCCGAGACUCAGUGAAAUUGAACUCGCUGUGAAGAUGCAGUGUACCCGCGGCAAGACGGAAAGACCCCGUGAACCUUUACUAUAGCUUGACACUGAACAUUGAGCCUUGAUGUGUAGGAUAGGUGGGAGGCUUUGAAGUGUGGACGCCAGUCUGCAUGGAGCCGACCUUGAAAUACCACCCUUUAAUGUUUGAUGUUCUAACGUUGACCCGUGAUCCGGGUUGCGGACAGUGUCUGGUGGGUAGUUUGACUGGGGCGGUCUCCUCCUAAAGAGUAACGGAGGAGCACGAAGGUUGGCUAAUCCUGGUCGGACAUCAGGAGGUUAGUGCAAUGGCAUAAGCCAGCUUGACUGCGAGCGUGACGGCGCGAGCAGGUGCGAAAGCAGGUCAUAGUGAUCCGGUGGUUCUGAAUGGAAGGGCCAUCGCUCAACGGAUAAAAGGUACUCCGGGGAUAACAGGCUGAUACCGCCCAAGAGUUCAUAUCGACGGCGGUGUUUGGCACCUCGAUGUCGGCUCAUCACAUCCUGGGGCUGAAGUAGGUCCCAAGGGUAUGGCUGUUCGCCAUUUAAAGUGGUACGCGAGCUGGGUUUAGAACGUCGUGAGACAGUUCGGUCCCUAUCUGCCGUGGGCGCUGGAGAACUGAGGGGGGCUGCUCCUAGUACGAGAGGACCGGAGUGGACGCAUCACUGGUGUUCGGGUUGUCAUGCCAAUGGCACUGCCCGGUAGCUAAAUGCGGAAGAGAUAAGUGCUGAAAGCAUCUAAGCACGAAACUUGCCCCGAGAUGAGUUCUCCCUGACUCCUUGAGAGUCCUGAAGGAACGUUGAAGACGACGACGUUGAUAGGCCGGGUGUGUAAGCGCAGCGAUGCGUUGAGCUAACCGGUACUAAUGAACCGUGAGGCUUAACC